CUCAUCUCGAAGCUUCCCCACUCCUCGUUCCUCGCCUCCUCGCAGUGGAAUUAGAGAAUUGAUAUGUCCUUCAAGAUGUUUAACGUCGAUCGAUUUCCAGGUCACAGGCUGGAGGAGGGCUGGAUGGAGAAGAUGGAUGGAUGAGGAAACGAGGAAGCAUUAACUUGAGUAUUGAGAAGCACCCAGCUGCAGUAAGGACACACUCCAAGGCUGAGCCAGCUGUCCCCUUACAGUUUGUAUAUUUGGAAUGUACAAGACAUAAAAUGUCAGCCAACAAACAUACCUUGGUUGACUGGCUACAUUUGGGAGUUCGUCCCGUUUGAUGAUUUCUUUGUCAA
ensembl:lncRNA